AGGUUUUACUUGAAAAAUAGAAUUUUAUUCAUUGAUAAAAAAUAGAAAACUUCAAAUCUAUCACAACUCAUCAACAGUCUACUCCUUUUAUGUAUUGGAAGCUUGUCAACUUCUUUUUGAAAAGUUAAAGUCAAGUUAGAGGUAAGACCAUAAACAUAUGAAGACUGUCUGAGAAGACAUGACUGGAAACUGAAUAGGGCUGGGCGUGGUGGCUCAGACCUGUAAUCCCAACAAUUUGGGAGGCCAAGGCGGGCGGAUCACCUGAGGUCAAGAGUUCGAGACCAGCCUGGUCAACAUGGAGAAAUCCUGUUUCAACUAAGAAUACAAGAAUUAGCCAGGUGUGGUUGCAGGUGCCUGUAAUCCCAGCUACUCAAGUGGCUGAGGCAGGAGAAUUGCUUCAACCCGGGAGGCAGAGGUUGCAGUGAUCCGAGGUCACGCCACUGCACUCCAGCCUGGGAGACAGAGAAAGACUCCAUCUCAGGGGAAAAAAAAGAAAAGAAAAGAAAAAGAAAAGAAAACUGAAUAAUACUCUAUUUUUCUACAGUGAAUCUAGAAAAAAAAAAAAAGACCAAAUAUAGGAUUACUUGAAUGAGACAAAAAAGGUGGAAUUUGGAGGACAAGACAAGAGAUACUAAGAAGAGUAAACCCAAUAAACAGACUGCAGCACA